rnacentral:rRNA from 1 species
CGUGUGGUCCUAUUUUGUUGGUUUCUAGGACCACCGUAAUGAUUAAUAGGGAUAGUCGGGGGCAUCCGUAUUCAAUUGUCAGAGGUGAAAUUCUUGGAUUUAUUGAAGACGAACUACUGCGAAAGCAUUUGCCAAGGAUGUUUUCAUUAAUCAGGAACGAAAGUUAGGGGAUCGAAGACGAUCAGAUACCGUCGUAGUCUUAACCAUAAACUAUGCCGACUAGGGAUCGGACGGCGUUAGAAUAACGACUCGUUCGGCACCUUACGAGAAAUCAUAAGUGUUUGGGUUCUGGGGGGAGUAUGGUCGCAAGGCUGAAACUUAAAGAAAUUGACGGAAGGGCACCACCAGGAGUGGAGCCUGCGGCUUAAUUUGACUCAACACGGGGAAACU